rnacentral:misc_RNA from 1 species
GCCGCUGUCAUCCGAAUUGCAGAAUGGCGACGAGGUUGAAGUCCUCACGUCGCAGGCGCAGUCGGCGCCGCCGACGGCGUGGGAAUCGCUCGCGGGCACCGGCAAGCGGUCACCGGCAAGGCCAAGGCCGCGAUCCGCCGCGCCACCCGCACCGCGGUGCGCGAUCAAUAUGCCGGUCUCGGACGGCGCAUCGUCGAACGCUUGUUCAUGCGGGCCA